rnacentral:tRNA from 1 species
AAGACUAUAGUCAAUCUAUGACGUAUGAGUUGCAUUCAUAAAGAGUUCCCUUGAACUAGUUUUA